rnacentral:rRNA from 1 species
AUUGAACGCUGGCGGCAUGCCUUACACAUGCAAGUCGAACGGCAGCACGGGAGCAAUCCUGGUGGCGAGUGGCGAACGGGUGAGUAAAGUAUCGGAACGUGCCCAGUCGUGGGGGAUAACGUAGCGAAAGUUACGCUAAUACAGCAUACGAUCUAUGGAUGAAAGCGGGGGAUCGCAAGACCUCGCGCGAUUGGAGCGGCCGGUGUCAGAUUAGGUAGUUGGUGGGGGAAAGGCUCACCAAGCCGACGAUCGGUAGCUGGUCUGAGAGGACGACCAGCCCCACUGGGACUGGGACACUGCCCAGACUCCUACGGGAGGCAGCAGUGGGGAAUUUUGGACAAUGGGCGAAAGCCUGAUCCAGCCAUGCCGCGUGAAGGAUGAAGGCCUUCGGGUUGUAAACUGCUUUUGUACGGAACGAAAAGGUUUGGCCUAAUAAGCUGAGCUCAUGACGGUACCGUAAGAAUAAGCACCGGCUAACUACGUGCCAGCAGCCGCCGUAA